GACGAACGCUGGCGGCGUGCCUAAUACAUGCAAGUCGAGCGAAUCUUUAGGAGCUUGCUCCUGAAGAUUAGCGGCGGACGGGUGAGUAACACGUGGGCAACCUGCCUGUAAGACUGGGAUAACACCGGGAAACCGGUGCUAAUACCGGAUAAUCCUUUUCCUCUCAUGAGGAAAAGCUGAAAGUCGGUUUCGGCUGACACUUACAGAUGGGCCCGCGGCGCAUUAGCUAGUUGGUGAGGUAACGGCUCACCAAGGCGACGAUGCGUAGCCGACCUGAGAGGGUGAUCGGCCACACUGGAACUGAGACACGGCCCAGACUCCUACGGGAGGCAGCAGUAGGGAAUCUUCCACAAUGGACGAAAGUCUGAUGGAGCAACGCCGCGUGAGUGAUGAAGGCC
rnacentral:rRNA from 1 species